rnacentral:rRNA from 1 species
GUGCCAGCAGCCGCGGUAAGACGGAGGGUGCAAGCGUUGUUCGGAAUCAUUGGGCGUACAGGGUGCGCAGGCGGCCUGGCAUGUCCGAUGUGAAAGCCCGUGGCUCAACCACGGAAGUGCCUUCGAAACUGUUGCUCUUGAGUCCCGGAGAGGUUGCCGGAAUUCGUGGUGUAGCGGUGAAAUGCGUAGAUAUCACGAGGAACACCAGAGGCGAAAGCGGGCAACUGGACGGGUACUGACGCUCAGGCACGAAAGCGCGGGGAGCAAACAGGAUUAGAUACCCCUGUAGUCC